UUAGAAAUUGCUGGACAGUGCUAAAGCGCGUGAUUCGUAGUGAUUGGAUCCUGUGACACUUGAAUAGUGCUAUUAACUAUGAAGUUCUUUUAAGAGAGUUGAAACACUUCCUAUUGAUGAGGGUGUUGGAAAGUCCUUUGUGGCUCUGUAAGUGCCUUUCUACAAUAUCUCAUUCAAAUCCAAACUGCAAGUUGUUUGGCCAGCAUGGAUAGAGGCUUGGGAUAAAUUAAGUCCAACAAACUAUGUUCAAAAAACUUCAUAGUAGACACAGGUAUGUUAUUCUUUGGUACAAUGCAUUUACAAAAAACUU
rnacentral:lncRNA from 1 species